ensembl:lncRNA
CACCAGCAGUGUAUGAGGGUUCCCUUUUCUCCACAUCCUCUCCAACACUUGUUAUUUCUUGUCUUUUUAAUAACAGCCAUUCAGAUCAGGAGACUCUUGAUACCACUCCAGCAUAGACACUACAGGAAAAGAAGAUUACAGAACCAAAUACAUUCCUGUCCAAGAAUCAUGAUGCAUCAGUGUUGUGCCUCUGGACAAGCCUCUUAAAAUCUCUAAAUUUCAAUGCUGUGAACUACAUAAGGAUCUUAACCUGAUGAAUACCAAAAGAAAACUGGUUCCUCAUUUAAGAAGAUAUUCAUCUCACCCCAAGCAGCAGAUCAGAAAAAUGGAUAUCCUACCACAUCCCAAGGUGCACCCUAAAAACAAGUCAGCUGAAGUAGAGGCAGUAACCGUGGUCUUCAAGAAAAUAUUCUCCCCCUGAGCGCUGAGAACAUCCAGCACCAAGAGGAGAGGAGAUGCCAAAGCGGGACUGAAAGAACUAAAGGCUCAGAUGGAGGAAUCUCUUCUGGGCCCUCCAAGUAGGACCCCUUCCCUGGAGGGGGGGAGAUUCUGCCAAAGAGCACCAGGGACAGAGGCCUUGCACUACAACUGCUGAGCCCUUCGCCCUUGUUUGGUUGGCUGUAUAGGUCUUUGCUUUCAGGUACAAUACCCUGCAAAUGCACACAAAGCACACAGUUCACAUGAUGACUUUCGUGGGGCCUAUGUACUUUUGCCUUCCUGGGCGCUCUCACCCAUAAAAUAUUAAAAAGUAUUUUUUACCACUGUGUUGGCAUAAUGGAAACGAAUUAUUAUUAUUAUGUGUUAAAGUAUUUUCUUUGACCAGAAGAGACUUCUUUUUCUUCUGAUUUUAAAAUAACUUAAAACAUCUUCCUAUGCCUACUGUGUGGCUCCCUAUGGCGCGCUGUGUGCCAUCAUGAGAUGGAGGAGGAAGGGGAGGGGAAUGGAGAGGCAGGAUAUGGGAGGAGGGGCAGAUGAGGAGGAGAAGGAGGAAGAGGUGGAGGACGGGGAGCUGAAUACCAAGGUGGCUCUAGUCCCUGGCCCCAGAAUGGCAGCCCCUCUCUCUGGAAUUCCCCUUUAUCCGAGUCUGCAAACACAAAUUCUGGUCUCUCAUCCUCCAGCCUCCUUUCUUUCCACAGGAACAGCCUCUCAUUCCUCCUCCAAUGCCCUCGUUCUGGAGAUCCUUUCUUUUUCCACUGGCUAUCCCCAAGCCUGGGCCCAAAUCCUUCACCCACAACAGGACUGUAGCCUCCCAACUCUCCGCCCCACCCCACCCAGGCCUUCAUUUGCCAAACCCUGGUCUUGUGAGAGGGUCUGGAGAGUCCAAAGUAUAAAAAGCUCCCAAGAGAAAAGCAUGUGUAGGCCAGGUCUCCUCAUGGAGCCAUGGGGUCCCCCUGCUGAAUAGGUUCUAGCCCUCCCAGGUCAUUCUAGUUGGAUACGUGGAGAUGUCAAACUUGAAUGGAGCGGGGAGGAUGAACAUAGAAAACACACUGAUUAGUACUCGAACAUGUAAGCUUGCAUCUAUAUAUCCAGUAAUCACAUGGAUUCAGUUUAUUCUAUUCUGUUCCUAUGAAUUUUACAAUCUGCAGCUUUGCGUUAUAAUUUGUUUUUUAACCUCAGAAAGUCUUGGACAGGCGAAAUACAGGACCCUAGAAUUCCACUCCUUGUUGUGUGAUCCACUGAGUUCAGGACACCUGCACAAUAAGAACCAUAGCCUCAUUGUGUGAAAGAGCCGCAAACUGGAAACAACCCAAAUGUCCAUCGUCAAUAGAAUGGAGAACUAAAUCGGGGUAUAGUUCGUUAGCCAUGGCAACGGAGGAAUCACUGAUGACUCCUGAAUCCAUAAUUUUUAGUGAAAAAAGCCAGACAGAAGAGAAUAUAUACCGUAUGAUUACAGGUUAAACCCAGACCUGUGCGGAGUGCAUGAUAAAUGAAACUAUGAAGUAAACGAGGAAUGGAACACCAUGAACAUAAGACUGCGGUUACUGCUAAGGGCAGGGAAUAAAAUGUCUUUAGGAAGGGGCACGUGUGAAGCUUCUGGAAGUCUCAUAAAUUGUAGGUAUUGAUCUAGGUGGGCGUUAUUUUAAUUUACAGCCAUUCAUUAAGGUGUACGUUUAUGUUUUCUGCAGCCUUCUGCAUAUUGCAUGAUCCAGUUGAAGAAAAUAUAUCAUUCUGUCAAUGCAGAUCAUACCAGGAAGCACAAACUGUGCUAAGUGAGCAGUUGGGGUAUCUCCAUCUGCACAGCACUAGGAGGUGUGGGACACUAUUCCAUCCACGUGACCCACAGGGGAAGCCCAGGAGGUGGGCCCUGGUCCCAACCAGACAAGUGGUGGCACCAGGACUGGAGGAGGCCCUGUGUGACAAGCAUGGUGCUGGCAACCAUAGCUCUGACCUAGUGUCCCUGGACCAACAGCGGGUAUCUCUGAGGAGCUUGGAAUCCAGUGCAUUCUAGAGCCAUGGACUGAGAUGCCAAGCUUUAUUGGGGGGUAGGGGGUGGGGGGACUCAGAAUUGUCCUAAUUCUUGGGACCUUCUAAGAAGGAAGUGUGUUUGAUAACCAUGGCAGAGAAGAGGAUUCCCAGUUACCCCAGGCAUUUUGUGGGUUCCUAGGCAAGAGCUCCUCAAGGGCUGGGUGGCCAGAGCAUUCCAAGGAUGUCAGAGGCCUGUAGACAGGAAAUGCCCAAAGGCAGAGGUGAGGGGACAGUGGCCUCCAACAGAGGUCAACAACCUGGAGAGAAGCCAGAGAAGCAGCAGAACCCACAGAAGGUGGCCUGAGGUUCCCAGCAUCAGCUUUCUCAUGUGUCCCCAAAAGCUCACACCCAAUGUAAACACGUGGCAAAACACACGCACACUCACUCACAGAGCAACGACAAAACAAAAACCAUUAGCCAGCAGCAACAGGAGCCAAGCAACAGACAGUAAAGACCCUGGGCCUGGCCAGUGUUGUUCCUCCCCUGAGUCUGUGGCAGGCCUCAUGAAGGGAGCAGGAGAGAACUCAGUGCCCACAGCACUAGAUCAGCAGAAGAGCUAGAGUGGCCAAUUUGGAAGGAAAGAAAGAUUAGGAGAACAGCUCGGGAUUAAGACAGCUCUCAGGAAAUCCCAAACAGGACACAGCCCAUGCACCAGGACUCGGGGUCACAUAUGACACAGUCAGACCCUCAAAGUUGGAAAAAUGAUGGGGAUGACAAACGAUGAAGUACGAUUCAGCAACCUUACCCUGAGGAAGCACCUCCAUUUGGGGGCUAUCUGUGGCACAGCGCAUGAAACAUCGUUCCCUGCUGCCCUGGCAUAGCCUUAUAGCCUUACACAGUCCACUCCCAGUCUCUAGGACCCCCUCCCCCAGUCCCUGGGGUCCUCUGCAAAGAAGUUGCUCUCAAAUUCAGGCAACCAUCCUGGACUCCAUCCCUGUGGCUCAGGAAGUCAUAGAGUCUGUGACCAACGGGAGUCUGAACAGCAGCCCCUGGGCCUGUCUCAUCUGCAUAAGACCCGCCCCCUGGCCUGGUGUCAUUCACUGCUACUUCCUUCUGACCCACGCACCGCCUCCUGCCCGCACUUUUCCCCUCCCACUCCACCCUGCCGGCCAAUGGCAGGACAGGAAACUGAGCAGGAAGUGACGUCAUCACCCUCCCGGUUUAGGCCGCGGGGUGCUAGGCCUCAUGCCUGGGGAUGGCGCUUCAUCCGGAGACCACUUUAGAACAAGAGCGCUUGAGGACUAAAACUACCAUAGAAGGAACAAGAGCAACAGCAAAAGAUUUUCAGGCUCAGGCCAAGGAUGUGAUUUAGAAAUGGGAGCAAGAUUUUGAGGGGAUAAAAGGAGAAGAAAGAUGAACUCAGAAGGUGUGUCUGGUAAGGACAGAUAUGAGGAACAGGAUUUCCGGGGAAGAAACGAGCAGUCAUGACGCUCUCACACUCACCAGGGGAGGGAGUUGGGAACAGUGUCCCGCAGUUUCCUAGGAAAAGGAAGGGGGAGGGGCCCUGCCCCUUUGCGGGAGGAGACCCCACAGAGCCGGCCAAGUGCUCCAUGCCUUUGAUGGAGGCCGCCGGUCACCAAAACCGCCUAGAACAGCCCUUGCCACGCGAUCCAGCGACAUGCACUGCAAAACGUCGUACAUCUAAGGUGGGUGGGAGAAUGACGUCUUUACUUGACUAAUUUCUUCAAGAAAUGUAGCUUUUCCGUCUGAAUGUGGGCAUAUGACAGUCCUGUCACUUUGUCACCAACAGAAAUUUCUGAUUCUUAGGAUAUCACACGAUGGUAGUGUAGAUAUCUCCACACAAUUCUUGGACCCAGGUCUUCUGGCGCUGGCGCGGUUAGACAAGGGAGAAGAGCCCAGGCUGCGGCAGCCUGGGGCUAGAGAGACCUGGCAGAGAGGACCAGCGCCCGCCUUUCGUUGGGUAAUAGGUGGGCUGGUUCAUCUGUCAGAUGAAGGGAGGGUGGUCAGGCCCCGCGAGGGACACCGGGUUUUCACUGAUCCCAGGUCCUUUUAAGCUAUAUUUGUCCUGCACGUUCUCUCUUAACUAGAUUCUCUCUUCACCUUGUCCUCAAUCUCUCGACUUUAAAUCAGACGUGGAAAAAUCCUGCCUAAAUUCCUACGGUUCACGUUGGUUACUAAAAGGAUUAGGUGGAAAGAAUCUGUUUUUUCUUUAAGGGUGAAAACAAGUUGUGGAGUUUCAGAGCCUAGAUAUCUCACAGAGAACAUAAGCUUCCUUCCUGAGGCUGGGUGUUUACAGCUGCUCCUCCUGGAAAGCUGGUGUCAAUUCCCUUAAGCCAAAUCGCCAGGAACACACUUCUUCGUCAGCAAGUUCGGUCUUUCAUUCCUUGCAGCCAGAAAGAACACACCCCACGAUCUAAGAAAGAGGGCGUUAGAAGGAACGUAUUAGAGGAUUUGGGCUUUGGCUGGGUGAUGUGGGGAAGGAUGGAAGGAGGCAGGGUGUGUUCCAUACUGAAUACUGUUGUCAGCAGGGGCAAUUCUAUGACUGGACUAACGAAGUAACAGCCAUUUCCUUAGAAAAAGAGGAGGAUGCUUGGGAUUUUGUAGGUUGCAUAGUGACCUUGUCUUUGCCUGUGCCUGGACAAAAUUAUGAGGUAGCCUUGUUUUGUCUCAUUUUAUGCAAGUCUGAGAGUAAUCUUGUCUGAGGUUGAUAUUCUGGAUGUGAGGUGGUUUAUUUCCAGCAUGAGAACAAAACGGUCAGGCUGUGAGUGUCAGAUCAGUUCAGGGCAUCAGAGGCUGGUAUUUUUCUUUCUGGAAAUCCCUCAAAUAAAGAACCAGGAAAGAGAGCACCCUGGUCUCACAAGCUUUAGGUGCAAACCUGACUGGGUAACAGUGUGAUGUUGGCUAAGUUUCUUGAAUUUUCUGUGGCUCAAUUUCUCACUUAAAAAUGGGUGAAAUGGGAGUUCUUCCCCACUGCGUUGUCCUAGGUUUAAAUGAGAUGUGCAGGGAAAGCAUUGAGCCCAGUGCCUGGCACAGAGUAAAUACUCAGUCCAUCUUAGCUCUUCCCAGUCCAUCCCCAUCUGCAUUGUUAUUAGCUGCCUUGUUUUUUCAAACAGCUUCAGACCCUUUCAGGGUAUGGAUGGACCACUAUAAAUAAGUGUUCUCCAAUUGAUGGCCAUGGACUUCGUUCCAGUGUUUUACAAACAAUGCUGCAUGGGACAUCUGUAUAUCUAUGUCUAUGUCUGUGUCUAUAGCUAUCGUUGCUUGUGUAAGUAUUACUCUAGCAUCUGUCUCUGUAAAGGGAAGUGCUGGGUUUAGAAAUAUAUUUGCACAUGUAUAGUUUUGCUAAAUCCUGCCCUACUACCUUGCAAAGAAGCUUUACCACUUCAUAUUCCCAAGCAUUUAAGAGAAUAUUCUUUUCUCCACCCUCUUGACAACACUGGGUAGCAUCUGUACCUACCGUCUAUUUUUGUCAACAAUUAAAUCCUUCUUGAGAGAGUUCCUCCAAUGAGUUUAUGCUCAUUCGUCUGACUUCACCGACAUCCUGGCAAAGCUGAAAUCCAUAUGAUUUUUCUCUGUUCUCUUCUAUGUUAUGACUGCUCUGUUCUCUCGGAUAAUCUGGGCCAAGAGACGUGCAAACAUAUCCCUCCUCCUGGGUGGAUGCUAUUGCCUGUUGGGUUUGCACACUGUCCUGGAUUUUGAGGGUGAGGGCCUGGUUCAUAGAUGAGGUUUGAGGUUGCGUUCCCCUGAGUUCCACUGAGAGAGUCCAGGCUGCAGGGCAUUGGGAACUCGCUAACCCUAAGGAGUGAGGUGUCCAUGACUGGAAUCGAGCAGAAGAACACCUGGAAAAUAGAGACCUGUAAGUUGAAAUUUUCGUUAGAAAUGGAGUUCCAAAAAUAGAACUGUUCUUUAUUUCUAGUCCGAAUAGGAGGAGAGAUUGCAUUCAAUGUAAACAAUGUGUUUGGGGAACUUAAUAGAGUGUCUGUUCUAUUGCUCUCCUUGAAUUGGUUCGCCUGUGCCGGGAACUGGUACUUGCUAUAAAACCUUGUGUGGUGAGUUCAGAAGAACAAGGAGCUAAAACAUGAUCUUAGAAAAUAGAGAUAGAUGAUGGAUUCGUAGAGAAUGUUAUGGGGAGUUAAGUAUCGUGGCCUCUUCACUCUUUUAGAGAUUGGGUUGGUCACAUUAAAGAGACAUUCCUCCAGCGCCUGAAAUGCCCUUCAUAGUGUCCUUCCUGAUACAAGGGUUUGGGAACAGUCAUAGGAAGGGGAACACAAGAUUUGCACGGCACAAGGUUUUUACUGUGGUUCUUUGGUCUUUUUUAGUUUAUGGGCAUUACCAUACGUGUUUUGAAAAUUAAAAAAUCAACAGAAUAGAGACAAGCAUCUGAAUUAGUUUUCUAUUGCUGCCUGUUAACAGAUUACAGAGACAGUGGUAUAAAACAACACACAUUUGUCAUCUCACAGUUCUGUAGAUCAGAAGUCUGGAAGGACAGGACUGGAUCCUCUGCCCACAGAAUCGAUCGGUGUGUCCUCUCCCUCUGAAUAGGUCUGAUAUUGACCCUGUCGGGGUUCUGACUGUCUCCCAUGAGGGCCUGCCCUUGCAAUCUCGUGCUCCUCUGGGAUCCUCUUUAUUGACCUUUCUCUCCGUCGUGAUCUCUUUCCGCUCCCGUAGGCGGCUUAGGAGAAAGCCUAGAACUGUGGAGCCCCAGAACUGACCUCCGCCCUCUCUUUCUCCAAGAGGAGAAGAAAAUCACAGAGGUCUUCAGACAGAAAUGACCCAGAUGAGGGUUGAGAUCCCCAGUGAUUACAGCAGAGAAAACCUAAAGGACAGUGGAGGCACUCUAGAAGCCCCGACUGCGGAAGCAGGGUCCUCUUUGUGGCCCACGUCAGGUGAGAACCCUUCCUGGAAAGGGGGACACUUCCCACACAAAGGACACCUUGGACAAGGGACUUACCGUGCUCCAGCUGAGUCAUUCUUGCUGCCCCUAGAGCUUUUGGAGGUUUCCAUCCUAGAUUGUUUGUUUAAUGGUGGGGCUCUUUCCUUGCAUGAGAUUGUCCUUGGAAUUUUUUUCUGAAAUGCAGUUUUUUGGGCCUUAACCACAGACGUUUUCAACAAGCGCCACACUGUCUCCGAUGUGGAU